AAACAAACCAGAGAAGAAGAAGUGAACCAGGACGGAAACAAAAACGCAGAAGAAGAAUAAAGACGAGCACAAUUGUAGAAAUUGCACAAACUUUUGAAGAAA